CACCUCCCCACCCUCCCCACCUUCCCUCACGAGGUGGGGAGGCCUGCCCAGAGCAGACCCACAGACCCAGCUGUCUCUCUCAACCCUCUGGUUCAGGACCAGCCACCCACUUUGGGGACUUGGCGCCCCCCAGCCAACAGAAGCAAAACUGCCAUCCCUGACCCACCAUCCGUCGCUUUCUCCAGCCUCCCGGUGGAUGGGGAGGCGCCUGGGGACCCGCAGCUCAGAAGACCUUGUGGGCGGACAGCUGGCUGCAGCCCCUCCUGCACCGGGAGCCCGUUCUUUGAGGAGGACUUUCUAACGCCCCAGGCUCCUGCACACACAGAGAAGUAGAUAACCUCAGAAGGAAGUUUCCCCCAAAGUUCCCAUUAGAAGACUGUUUCCCCCCUUACUUACUUAAAUCGCUCAUCCUGAGGUAGUCCUUAAGUGGUUGAUUUCCACUAAAAAGCAAGCAAAGGGUUUCAGAAACCUAGUCCCUGCUUUGCUGGUCCCUGGGCGAGGUCCGACCAGCUCUCUUCCCAGGCUAGGUGGGGAGCGGCUGGCCCACCCACUGAGG